rnacentral:rRNA from 1 species
AUCCUGGCUCAGGAUGAACGCUAGCUACAGGCUUAACACAUGCAAGUCGAGGGGCAGCAUGAAGUCAGCUUGCUGACUUUGAUGGCGACCGGCGCACGGGUGCGUAACACGUAUCCAAUCUGCCCGUUACUCAGGGAUAGCCUUUCGAAAGAAAGAUUAAUACCUGAUGGUUUCCUUGGGAGGCAUCUCCUUUGGAAUAAAGAUUCAUCGGUAACGGAUGAGGAUGCGUCCGAUUAGCUUGUUGGCGGGGUAACGGCCCACCAAGGCGACGAUCGGUAGGGGCUCUGAGAGGAGGAUCCCCCACACUGGAACUGAGACACGGUCCAGACUCCUACGGGAGGCAGCAGUGAGGAAUAUUGGUCAAUGGGCGGGAGCCUGAACCAGCCAAGUAGCGUGAGGGACGACUGCCCUAUGGGUUGUAAACCUCUUUUGUUUGGGAAUAAAGUACCCCACGUGUGGGGUUUUGCAUGUACCUUACGAAUAAGCAUCGGCUAAUUCCGUGCC